UACGGAGGGGACUAGCGUUGUUCGGAAUUAUUGGGCGUAAAGGCGCGUAGGCGGCCUUUCAAGUGACGGGUGAAAGCCCUCGGCUUAACCGAGGAACUGCCUGUCAGACUGGAAGGCUUGAGACCGGGAGAGGUGAGUGGAAUUCCCAGUGUAGCGGUGAAAUGCGUAGAUAUUGGGAGGAACACCAGUGGCGAAGGCGGCUCACUGGACCGGUACUGACGCUGAGGCGCGAAAGCGUGGGGAGCAAACAGG
rnacentral:rRNA from 1 species